rnacentral:rRNA from 1 species
UACGUAGGGACCAAGCGUUGUUCGGAUUUACUGGGCGUAAAGGGCGCGUAGGCGGCCUGCUAAGUCACACGUGAAAUCCCUCGGCUUAACCGGGGAACUGCGUCUGAUACUGGAUGGCUUGAAUCCGGGAGAGGGAUGCAGAAUUCCAGGUGUAGCGGUGAAAUGCGUAGAUAUCUGGAGGAAUACCGGUGGCGAAGGCGGCAUCCUGGACCGGCAUUGACGCUGAGGAGCGAAAGCUAGGGGAGCAACGGG